UAUCUUUAUAUAUAAAGUAGAGUUAUCUCUCUCCUGGACGCGCCACCUCAGCAGCCAGCUCAAAAAGUCAAGCUCUGUGAACGUGACACCUGUCCCAACAUACAAAACUCACCGUUUCCAUGCGUUUUUAUUGCAUCCACUCUACUGUGUCUUUUAAAAAUGGGCUUCCACGAGACACUCUAAUAUGGAUAAUUCUCUCUGGGCCGCUAUCCAACCAAAUGCUAGGCCGUCUCUGAAAUUGCAUGUUGGUCCGGCGCUUUGACAGUAACUUCCAAGCCGUCUCUGUUCAUGUCGUUUCGGUCUCUGUUCUUCACCUCCAACAGUUACAAAUCGAAUUGAUUAUCAUUAAUGGCCUCUAAAACCACGAUCUUGCAUUCACUGAUUCUUAUUGUUCAUUCAGGCGGUCAUUCUCACCUAUAAAUAAGUAAGGAUUCAUCCCUUUAGCAUCAUCUUCAAAGUUAUCUCACAUCUCUCAGCACUUCCUCAACGAGCAUGAGCAUGACGUUAUUCCUCCACCUCAAAAUCAGAAGAUACAACAACUUUUUAUGAUUGAAGGAAGACAAACAAGGGCUACAAGGCUUUAGCAAAUUUUUGAGAUUUUAGAAAACGGCAAGAAGAGAAGGUUACAGAGGAUCUAGGUUUUGUGUAGAGAAGAAAAGCAUAACAGUGAGAAGAUAUUACAGAGAUGUAUGACGGCGAGCAUAGGAGAUGUUGUUUUGUGCGGCUGAGAAAGAAAAAGAUUCAAUACCGCAGACUAUAAUGUUUAAUCUAGGGUUUUUUUCUAUUUAAUGGUGGGUUAGUUUAAUUACAUAUUAGGUUUAUUAUUGUUCGAUGGACUUCUGUAACUUAGAUG